GCCGGAAUGAACUUCGAUGGUUCGGAGUGCAGGCUUCAAACCUGUAGACGCUUGACGGCGUAAUGGUUCGAUUCCAUCUUUCCGGU
rfam:Strongyloides venezuelensis genome assembly, scaffold: SVE_scaffold0000097